CAGUAGCCGCGGUAAUACGAGGGGUGCAAGCGUUAUUCGGAUUGAUUGGGUGUAAAGGGUGUGCAGACGGCUUAUUAAGUCACUUGCUAAAUUCUUCGGCCUAACUGAAGGUCUGCAAGUGAUACUGAUGAGCUAGAGGGUGGAAGAGAGAAGUGGAAUUCUCGGAGUAGCGGUAAAAUGCGUAGAUCUCGAGAGGAACACCAAUGGCGAAGGCAGCUUCUUGGUCCAUCCCUGACGUUCAUACACGAAAGCGUGGGGAGCAAACAGGAUUAGAUACCCGGGUAGUCCCUGUCUCUUAUAC
rnacentral:rRNA from 1 species